CAAGGCCUAUGAUGGAAUAUGAUAACAUGCCUACAUUGUCUGAUCAUAUAAGUUUGAUUGAGCAACAUGAACUGAGGCCUUG